UAGCCUUAAAAUGAAAGCCACAUAUGGUAC
rnacentral:piRNA from 1 species